rnacentral:rRNA from 1 species
AGAGUUUGAUCCUGGCUCAGAACGAACGCUGGCGGCAGGCCUAACACAUGCAAGUCGAGCGAGCUCUUCGGAGCUAGCGGCGGACGGGUUAGUAACGCGUGGGAACGUGCCCUUCACUGCGCAUUAUUUUCCGGAAACGGUGAGUAAUACCGCAUACGCCCUUCGGGGGAAAGAUUUAUCGGUGAAGGAUCGGCCCGCGUUAGAUUAGAUAGUUGGUGGGGUAACGGCCUACCAAGUCUACGAUCUAUAGCUGGUUUUAGAGGAUGAUCAGCAACACUGGGACUGAGACACGGCCCAGACUCCUACGGGAGGCAGCAGUGGGGAAUCUUGGACAAUGGGCGCAAGCCUGAUCCAGCCAUGCCGCGUGAGUGAUGAAGGCCUUAGGGUCGUAAAGCUCUUUCGCCAGAGAUGAUAAUGACAGUAUCUGGUAAAGAAACCCCGGCUAACUCCGUGCCAGCAGCCGCGGUAAUACGGAGGGGGUUAGCGUUGUUCGGAAUUACUGGGCGUAAAGCGCACGUAGGCGGAUCAGAAAGUUGGGGGUGAAAUCCCGGGGCUCAACCCCGGAACUGCCUC